CUUAACCUAGGGUUUCCUAAAGUCGGUCUUGUGGGCCGCCCUUGGUGCACGUCAAGCGUUGAAUAUUUUAAUCAGCUGUGUAGUGCUAUGGCAAAAACAAAAACGUGCACCCAGGACCGACUUUGGGUAGGCCAUUAAAAUAUAUAAAAACCUCCUUCAUGAAUCUCUCUGUAUAACUUGACCACCUUGACAUUGUUUACACACCGCCACGAAACACACAAAAAAGAGGAAGAUGACUGAAAUCCUAGGGCCGAAACGCAAACGUCUUGAUUUUACUUUUAACAAUUAUCAAUUUUCACUGUCCUCCAAGACCUGCUGAAUGUCUUCAAUUCAUACUUGUAAAGAGUGGCUGUGGAGAAGGACUGUGGACACCCGAAGUUGCUGGUCAAGGGCUGGGUCACCAUGCUGUUGGGAGUUGAAGUGCAGGUUCAGGUCAAUGCUCCAUCACAAAUAAAUAAAAUAACAUCUGUGGAGUCUAUCGCUGGGAAGUGGACGGAGUGGAACACCACUGUUACCAUGGAGCGCUAACAGCGGACCAGCAGUGGAAGAAGAGGUAAUUACAGGAAGAUUCACCAACCUUCAAAGCCCUGUACUCUCUGGUCAUGGACAAACGCCUGCAGAAUGAUCUCGAUCAGAUGGGACAGUUCAAGCACACAGGAACACUUGAGGUAUUUCACAGUUCUAUGUUGAAAUACUGUCAAAAGCGUCUCCACUUCAAAGACUACAGCAUGAAAGCCCGUACCCAGUUGACAGUUUUGGACCAGAAUGAGAAUCAGAACCGUAAUAGAGGACAAGCCUCAACCAUUUCAACGUUGGAUUGCCCGGCCAAUAUACCAGCCCACCAGGAAUGACCUGAUUGAGCGCAUCCUCAUGGACAAAUUAGUGAAAUACUGGGAGCCAAAAUCCUGUGGAAGCGGCUGUCGUCUGGCUGCCAACAGCCCCCAUCCCAAACCCCAGCAAGGAGGUGGUUAUUGCAGCACACACAUCAAGAC
rnacentral:lncRNA from 1 species